rnacentral:rRNA from 1 species
AGUGAACGCUGGCGGUAGGCCUAACACAUGCAAGUCGAACGGCAGCACAGUAAGAGCUUGCUCUUACGGGUGGCGAGUGGCGGACGGGUGAGGAAUACAUCGGAAUCUACUUUUUCGUGGGGGAUAACGUAGGGAAACUUACGCUAAUACCGCAUACGACCUACGGGUGAAAGCAGGGGAACUUCGGACCUUGCGCGAUUGAAUGAGCCGAUGUCGGAUUAGCUAGUUGGCGGGGUAAAGGCCCACCAAGGCGACGAUCCGUAGCCGGUCUGAGAGGAUGAUCAGCCACACUGGAACUGAGACACGGUCCAGACGCCUACGGGAGGCAGCAGUGUGGAAUAUUAGACAAUGGGCGCAAGCCUUAUCCAGCCAUACCGCGUGGGUGAAGAAGGCCUUCGGGUUGUAAAGCCCUUUUGUUGGGAAAGAAAAGCAGCAGGUUAAUACCCCGCUGUUCUGACGGUACCCAAAGAAUAAGCACCGGCUAACUUCGUG